GCGCACGGUGGAUGCCUUGGCACCAGGAGCCGAUGAAGGACGUAGGAGGCUGCGAUAAGCCUCGGGGAGCUGUCAACCGAGCUGUGAUCCGAGGAUUUCCGAAUGGGGGAACCCGGCAGGAGUCAUGUCCUGUCACCCGCAUCUGAACACAUAGGGUGUGUGGAGGGAACGUGGGGAAGUGAAACAUCUCAUUACCCACAGGAAGAGAAAGCAACCGCGAUUCCGCGAGUAGUGGCGAGCGAAAGUGGAAGAGGCUAAACCGGGCAC
rnacentral:rRNA from 1 species